UGUUGGUUCUCCCGCAACGCUACUCUGUUUACCAGGUCAGGUCCGGAAGGAAGCAGCCAAGGCAGAUGACGCGUGUGC
rnacentral:SRP_RNA from 3 species